GAUGAAGAACGUAGCGAAAUGCGAUAAGUAGUGUGAAUUGCAGAAUUCAGUGAAUCAUCGAAUCUUUGAACGCACAUUGCGCCCUUUGGUAUUCCUUAGGGCAUGCCUGUUCGAGCGUCAUUUGAACCCUCAAGCUCAGCUUGGUGUUGGGUGUCUGUCCCCGCCUUCGCGGGGACUCGCCUCAAAAUCAUUGGCGGCCGGUACGUUGGCUUCGAGCGCAGCAGAAACGCGAACUCGAGGCCCGGCGGAUCGGCGACCAGAAGUCUCUUCUUCACAGUUUGACCUCGGAUCAGGUAGGGAUACCCGCUGAACUUAAGCAUAUCAAUAAGCGGAGGA
rnacentral:misc_RNA from 1 species